AGUGGCGGACGGGUGAGUAACGCGUGAGAAUCUGCCUUGGGGUCGGGGACAACACUGGAAACGGUGGCUAAUACCGGAUACGCCUUCGGGUAAAAGAUUUAUUGCCCUAAGAGGAGCUCGCGUCUGAUUAGCUAGUUGGUGAGGUAAGAGCUCACCAAGGCAGCGAUCAGUAGCUGGUCUGAGAGGACGAUCAGCCACACUGGGACUGAGACACGGCCCAGACUCCUACGGGAGGCAGCAGUGGGGAAUUUUCCGCAAUGGGCGAAAGCCUGACGGAGCAAGACCGCGUGAGGGAGGAAGGCUCUUGGGUUGUAAACCUCUUUUCUCAGGGAAGAAGCUCUGACGGUACCUGAGGAAUCAGCCUCGGCUAACUCCGUGCCAGCAGCCGCGGUAAUACGGAGGAGGCAAGCGUUAUCCGGAAUUAUUGGGCGUAAAGCGUCCGCAGGUGGCGAUUCAAGUCUGCUGUCAAAGCACGGGGCUUAACUCCGUAAAGGCAGUGGAAACUGAAUAGCUAGAGUGCCGUAGGGGUAGAGGGAAUUCCCGGUGUAGCGGUGAAAUGCGUAGAGAUCGGGAAGAACAUCGGUGGCGAAAGCGCUCUACUGGACGGCAACUGACACUCAGGGACGAAAGCUAGGGGAGCGAAUGGGAUUAGAUACCCC
rnacentral:rRNA from 1 species